GGGCUGUUAGCUCAGUUGGCAGAGCUGUGGACUCUUAAUCCAUCGGUCGAGGGUUCGAAUCCCUCACAACCCACCACCU
rnacentral:tRNA from 1 species